AUGGGAAUUUUCUGCAUAAAAAUGGCUACCAUUUCGAAAUGAACGAAUCUACGCAAAUAAUUUUUGGACAGGAACAAUGUCAAUGACCAAUAUUGUGCCCUUAUUAAAUUAAAAGUUAGACAGUUUUUGAGAAACCUGCCUUUAAUUGCUCAAAAUGGCUAUAUUCGGCAUAAAAAUGGCCGCCAUUUUCAAACGAACGAAUCAAUGACUAUGAUUUUUAGACGGGAACAAUGUCAAUGACCGAUAUUAUGCCCUUGCCAAAUUA